rnacentral:rRNA from 1 species
CCCUACGGGGUGCAGCAGGCAGGCCUUGGUUAUUGCCUCCUCGGGCGAGAGCUUGUCGCGCCGUUCGGCGUCCAGGGCGAAGUCCACCAUCAUGAUGCCGUUCUUUUUCACGAUGCCGAUGAGCAGAAUAAUGCCGAUGAUGGCGAUGACCGAGAGGUCCGUUCUUGUGGCCAAAAGCGCCAUGACCGCCCCCACGCCCGCGCUGGGCAGGGUGGAGAGGAUCGUCAGCGGGUGGACGAGGCUCUCGUACCGCACGCCCAGCACGAUAUACACGGAAAUGAGCGCCGCCAGGAUGAGCAGGGGCUGGUUUUUGAGCGAGGCCUGAAAGGCCUGGGCCGUGCCCUGGAAGCUGCCCCGGAUGCUGGCGGGGGGGC